CUCUACUCCAUUGUUCGAUAUGUCUAUAUUUACACCAAUACCUUAUUCUCUUGAUUACUAUAUCUUUGUGGUAAAGUUUUGGAAUUGGAAAGUGUGAAUCCUCAAACUUUGUUCUUUUACAACAUUGUUGUGGCUAUGUGUGGUCCCUUGCAAUUGUAUGGGAAUUUUUGAAUUAGCUUCUUGAUUUCAAAAAAUGUGAUAACUAAUAUUUUAUAGGGAUUGCCCAAGGUCUAUAACUCAAUUUGAAAGGCAUUUUUAUCUUAACAACAUUAAAUCUUCUAAUCCAUCAACAUGCACUAUAUUUAGAUCUUCUCUAAUUUCUUUCAGCAAUGUUUUAUGGUUUUCAGUGCAUACUCUUCAAAUCUCUGUAGUUAAAUUUAUUUCUAAGCAUUGUAUUCUUUUAAUGCUAUUGUAAACAUAAUCAAUUUGACUUUUAUUAUUGGCUGCCUCAUGGUUUAGUUGAACGAAUUUCUCUUUCCUCUGUAUCUUCUGCAAAUUGGUACUUGGAACUAAUAGUUUGAUCAAAUUCAGUCUUUAUUUUUGUCAAAAUCACUUCAUAGAUAUACCUACCUUGAGGCACAGAAUAUCUAGUUAUCUCCCUGCUAUGGCAGUAGCCAUUGAUGAUCAUUGAGUAGACUCAUUAAUCCAUUAGGGAUUGAAGAUAGUGAUAUUCUAAUUCCAUCAUAAUUUUUUUUGCUAGCUGGAAUGUAUCUAAAAAACAAAAAUUCCCUUUAUAUAUUAUUUGAUAUUAGACCAAAUGGAAAAUUUUAUGUAGGGAAUCACUCUAUUUUUAAGUGUGUAUCAAAAGAAAUUGUUACUUCCUGGAAUUAAUAAAAUUGGAGAACAUUCAGAUGAAAGGCUUAGUGUCUACCCCACUCACACAACUCUCUACUCUUAACAACACUUAGAUUAGUAUCUGCAACAGAGUAAGAUAAAAUAACAUCAUCAAUUCAUGUAUUUAUUCAACAGAUACUUGUUUAUCUCAUACUUCAAGAUAAAGAUAGAAAGUAUCUAUUGACUGGCAAUCCAGAUGCUAAUGAUUGUGUGACAAUUUCAUUGGAGAAUUGGAUGCCUACACUAUGUUAGGCACUAUGUUCAGUAUGUACAGAUAUGUUUCUUCAUUUCAUUUAAUAGACAGUUAAUCAAUGUACAUGAUUUUUCGUAUCUGUUAUCUAAGAUAAUGUACAUAAUGCUUUAUUAUCAAUGGGUGUUGUGCUUUGAGUUAACAAUAAGCAAAUAAAGUCAGUGUUUAUUAUAUAAUCCCUCAAGUUAGCAGUUAUUUAAAAAAUGGGAUAUCCAUGUUGUCAUUAAAUAUGUAGCAAAAAAUGAGAACAUUAAUUUGUUCAUGCAUACUUUUAAGAAAAUAAAUUCAGCUGUG
rnacentral:lncRNA from 1 species